GACGAACGCUGGCGGCGUGCUUAACACAUGCAAGUCGAACGAUGAAGUCGGAGCUUGCUCUGGUGAAUUAGUGGCGAACGGGUGAGCAACACGUGAGUAACCUGCCCUUGACUCUGGGAUAACUGCGGGAAACUGUAGCUAAUACCGGAUACGACCCUCGGAGGCAUCUCCUGGGGGUGGAAAGAAUUUCGGUCAAGGAUGGACUCGCGGCCUAUCAGCUAGUUGGUGAGGUAUCGGCUCACCAAGGCGACGACGGGUAGCCGGCCUGAGAGGGUGACCGGCCACACUGGGACUGAGAGACGGCCCAGACUCCUACGGGAGGCAGCAGUGGGGAAUAUUGCACAAUGGGCGCAAGCCUGAUGCAGCAACGCCGCGUGAGGGAUGACGGCCUUCGGGUUGUAAACCUCUUUUAGUAGGGAAGAAGCGAAAGUGACGGUACCUGCAGAAAAAGCACCGGCUAACUACGUGCCAGCCGCCGCCGUAA
rnacentral:rRNA from 1 species